CUCCACUACUGAAAAACAUGCCUUAAAAAGGCCCGAGUGCAUUGUUGUUGUUGCAUUCACUUCUAAAUGCUUUAAUACAUUUCCAACACUUAAAAGUUCCUUUCCACUCCGAAUUUUAAUCCAACUCCACAUUUUCCUGUCUCCUCUUUCUGUACUCUCAGAGGCCCUGUUGUAGUUACGCAUUUCCACCGCGCCUAGGCGCUGUUGCCUAGCCGUGCCCCUCUCCCCACUCUCUCUCCGCUUGCCCAGCCUGCCUCUCUACUGCCUCUCUGCCUCAGCCAACCCGGGCUGUGCCGAGCUGCUCCCUACGGGAUCAGAGCGCUCCCCCGCCGGGACCCUUCUCUCACAUCCCCCUGCUGGGACGCGGCUACAUUUCCAGCCAAGCACUGCCUGCCUUGGCUUUAUUAUGUGUGUCUGCGCCGCAGCCCCGCCAGCAGAGGCAGGCAGAGGAGGAGGGAGACUGGUAGCCAGAGUCAGGACAAAGAAAAAGCAGGGAGACAGAGGCUAGCGGAGGGUUAUACUGCUGAAAUAUUAGCCUGCAAUUAAUACAGCCGGUUAAGGCACUGGGCAAUAUUAACAAAAGACAGCUAGCCUAGUCAGGGCAGCCCUUUGGGGUGGAGAAGCAAGGCAGUCUGAGCGAUAUGCCCGUGGCACCAGGGCACCUCUACUAGAGUAGAAAAGCGGGACGGAACACGGGAAGAUUCUCGGUUCGGGUCGCUGCCGCUUUCCUGGAUGAGCAAACUAAAAUAAACAGACAUAAAUAGUUUUGCUUCACUUAUGGCCACGAAGAAGAUGCGAGGGACGACGAGAAGACACUACAUUUAAUUUCACAAAAGCAACAUUUGUGCAGUUUCCGCAGUCUCCCAUCACCUGGCUGUCACGCUGUGCUGGUGGUCAGUGUAUCAAACACCGCGCGGGACAUCGGUGCUUCAAACCAGGGACACCGCUACGCCAGCGACAGUGUGCGGGGAAAACCAGCGACUCGACCGUCGAAGAGGCGACACACGAGGGAAGUUGUUUCCCUGUACUCCACAGGUUGCGUGUUAAGAGAACGGAAGAGCGUGCUGCUUCCUCGGGCUCCACUCCGGUGUGGGGCGAGCAGCCGCUGGACAAACGCCGCUUUCCACUCACAGACUCGAGCUGCCGCAUUGCAACAGGCGGAGAGGACCAGCCGAGAGUGGAGGAGGAGGAUAGAUGGUCUGAAGGGUCCUGUAUGGUUAGUCCAAAACGCGGAACGGAGUCAAACAAACCGACAAGAAAUAGAACAUUAUAGAGAUGUCAAGACGAAAACAAGCAAAACCACGCUCCGUGAAAGCGGUGGAAGAAGGGGAGUCUUCUGAAUGCACUGGGCCUGGGACGAAUCAAGCAUCCAGACAGGUCAGUUGUACGCUGCUCCGUAUUUG
rnacentral:lncRNA from 1 species